rnacentral:lncRNA from 1 species
GCAGCAGUAGAUCUUGGAAUGACUGGUAGUGUUUGUCGGAAAACGCCAGAUAAUAAAAUCAUUGUGCAUUCGUCCCAUAUGAUGAUUUUUUGAUGCUACUAAAACUUUGGCCAUUGCGGAGUUUUUCGAAAUGCUACAUGUCGGUUGUUCAGUAGUUUGAAGGUUUAAUGGCAAUUUUAACGCUGAGUGAGCCGUACGGCAUCCGUCUAACAAUGUGGCCGCUAUUCCAGAAGAAGCAAUUGCUACCGCAAUUUCGGAUCCCGCACGUACAGUGGCCAAAAUCAAUGACAUGAGGAAUGUCUUCCCAGUUCCACCGGGGGCAUCCAAAAAAAAAUAAGCCGCCAUUUCCAUCAUCAAUUGCAUUAAUCAGUGUAUCAUAGACUUCCGUCUGCUUAGGAUUCAACAGAAGUACAUUUGUUUGAACUGAUUAAAUUAGUUCAUGUGGAUCAUAU